UGUUAUGGAUCUUGAGGGUCA
rnacentral:snRNA from 1 species